AGGAUCAUUACCGAAUUGUCACAUGAGUUGUUGCUGGCCCUCAGACCCAGGGCAUGUGCACACUCUGUUCACACAUCCACUCACACCUGUGCACCCCCUCGUAGUUCUGUGGCCUGGGGACCCUGUCUCCCAGCUGUGGUUCUAUGUAUUUACACACACAACGUGAUGAAGUUUCAUGGAAUGUAUGUGCCGCAUUUAAUGCAAUACAAUACAACUUUCAGCAACGGAUCUCUUGGCUCUCGCAUCGAUGAAGAACGCAGCGAAAUGCGAUAAGUAAUGUGAAUUGCAGAAUUCAGUGAAUCAUCGAAUCUUUGAACGCAUAUUGCGCUCUUUGGUAUUCCGAAGAGCAUGCUUGUUUGAGUAUCAGUAAACACCUCAAAGCUUUUGAUUUUUUUUAAAAGUUUUGGACUUGAGCAAUCCCAACACCAGUCUUUUACAGAUCGGCGGCGGGUUGCUUGAAAUGCAGGUGCAGCUGGACAUUCUCCUGAGCUAAAAGCAUAUUUAUUUAGUCCCGUCAAACGGAUUAUUACUUUUGCUGCAGCUAAUAUAAAGGGAGUUUGACCGUAUUGGCUGACUGAUGCAGGAUUUCACAAGGGUCGGCAACGAUUCUUGUAAAACUCGAUCUCAAAUCAAGUAAGACUACCCGCUGAACUUAA
rnacentral:rRNA from 1 species